CAGCAGUCGCCGCGGGAAUACGGAGGGUGCAAGCGUUAAUCGGAAUUACUGGGCGUAAAGCGCACGCAGGCGGUUUGUUAAGUCAGAUGUGAAAUCCCCGGGCUCAACCUGGGAACUGCAUUUGAAACUGGCAAGCUAGAGUCUCGUAGAGGGGGGUAGAAUUCCAGGUGUAGCGGUGAAAUGCGUAGAGAUCUGGAGGAAUACCGGUGGCGAAGGCGGCCCCCUGGACAAAGACUGACGCUCAGGUGCGAAAGCGUGGGGAGCAAACAGGAUUAGAUACCCGAGUAGUCCCUGUCUCUUAUAA
rnacentral:rRNA from 1 species